CAUAUACUCCCUCCGUUCGGAAUUACUUGUCUCAGAUCUGGAUGUAUCUAGAACUAAAAUACGUCUAAAUACAUCCAUUUAUGCGACAAGUAAUUCCGAACGGAGGGAGUACAUA
rfam:Triticum aestivum genome assembly, contig: Triticum_aestivum_CS42_TGACv1_scaffold_328808_4BS